rnacentral:rRNA from 1 species
UGAGGAAUAUUGCUCAAUGGGCGAAAGCCUGAAGCAGCAACGCCGCGUGGAGGAUGAAGGCCUUCGGGUUGUAAACUCCUUUUCUGGGAGAAGAGACAAGGACGGUAUCCCAGGAAUAAGUCUCGGCUAACUACGUGCCAGCAGCCGCGGUAAAACGUAGGAGGCGAGCGUUAUCCGGAUUUACUGGGCGUAAAGCGCACGCAGGCGGUUGUGUAAGUCGGACGUGAAAUCUCUCGGCUCAACUGAGAGGAGUCGUUCGAUACUGCGCAGCUUGAGGUUGGGAGAGGGAAGCGGAAUUCCCGGUGUAGUGGUGGAAUGCGUAGAUAUCGGGAGGAACACCAGUGGCGAAAGCGGCUUCCUGGCCCACACCUGACGCUCAUGUGCGAAAGCGUGGGGAGCGAACGGG